rnacentral:rRNA from 1 species
GACGAACGCUGGCGGCGUGCUUAACACAUGCAAGUCGAGCGGUAAGGCCCUUUCGGGGGUACACGAGCGGCGAACGGGUGAGUAACACGUGGGUGACCUGCCCUCAGCUCUGGGAUAAGCCUGGGAAACCGGGUCUAAUACUGGAUAUGACUCCAUGACGCAUGUUGUGGGGUGGAAAGCCUUGUGCGGCUGAGGAUGGGCCCGCGGCCUAUCAGCUUGUUGGUGGGGGAUGGCCUACCAAGGCGACGACGGGUAGCUGGUCUGAGAGGAUGAUCAGCCGGACGGGGACUGAGACACGGCCCCGACUCCUUCGGGAGGCAGCAAUGAGGAAUCUUGCGCAAUGGGGGCAACCCUGACGCAGCGACGCCGC